CACGUAGGGUGCGAGCGUUGUCCGGAAUUAUUGGGCGUAAAGAGCUCGUAGGCGGUGUGUCGCGUCGGCCGUGAAAACCUGCAGCUUAACUGUGGGCUUGCGGUCGAUACGGGCAUCACUGGAGUUCGGCAGGGGAGACUGGAAUUCCUGGUGUAGCGGUGAAAUGCGUAGAUAUCGCUUGGAACGCCAAAGGUGAAAACAGGUUGCUGGGGUUGUGCCGACGCUGAGACACGAAAGCCAGGGGAGCAAACGGG
rnacentral:rRNA from 1 species